rnacentral:sRNA from 1 species
AUGCAUGAUACAUCUCUUCUGAGAUGCAUUAUAUGUGGAUGAGUGUUUAUCUUUGCAGAGGUGGCAGCUGAGGAGAACAUAGCCAGUUACAAAAGUCAUCUUUGUUAUUUAGUUAAAUGAUUGAACACAUCUUGCUUGAUGAUGCUGUCUGCUCAGAGCAGAGCAGAGAUGAAUACUCUAUGAUCUCAGUACUGAAUGACAGCUGAGUCUGCAGAGAUGCAGGUUUUGAAGACUGUGGUUAUGUCUGAUUCUUUCAGAGCAGAGGUGUUAGAGGAAGAGGAGGAUGUGGAGAAGAAUAUGAAGAUUUUGAGAGUGAUGAGCUCUGAGAGCUCUGUGAUGAAGAAGUCAGCUGGGGAGAAGUUGGCUGAGAAGAGAUUGAAGAAGUUGAUUGAAGAGAGAUUGAAGGAGUUGAUUGAAGAGA